rnacentral:rRNA from 1 species
AUGGCCAACAAGGGUGAAGAUCCUCAGGGACUGUGCAUCUGUCCUGAGCUUACCAACAUCUUGCUGACAGAGGACAUGGAGCCUAAGCUGUCUGAUUUUGGGCUAGCAAAAACGCUGCAAAUGGAGGAGACCAAGGUCUUCACAGAUGUGGGGGGAACCAUUGGUUACAUGGAUCCUGAGUACAUAACACACUCCAAGCUUACUUGCGCAAGUGAUAUCUACAGCUUUGGCGUGGUUGUGCUGCAGCUUCUGUCAGGAAGAAAGGUCAUCGAACUUGACAUUGUUCCACGCGAUUCUCUCACCAAGAAGGAACUCGGCAAGUCAAUUUCAGAGUUAUUCUCACCAUUGUUACCUGAAGUUUUUGAUGCUCCUAAUUUGGUCUCGGUUCUUGUCUCAAGGCCAAAGAUGCAUCGCCCCUCGGCCUCUCCCCGGAGGCAGAGCUCGCGCCGCCGCUCCAGUCACUGGCUGCGCCGCCGGCUUGUCCCUAUCCUCGAACGCCUGUAG